rnacentral:rRNA from 1 species
CAGUAGCCGCGGUAAUACAGAAGAUGCAAGCGUUAUCCGGAAUGAUUGGGCGUAAAGGGCUCGCAGGCGGUUUCUUAAGUCUGAUGUGAAAGCCCCCGGCUCAACCGGGGAGGGUCAUUGGAAACUGGGAAACUUGAGUGCAGAAGAGGAGAGUGGAAUUCCACGUGUAGCAGUGAAAUGCGUAGAGAUGUGGAGGAACACCAGUGGCGAAGGCGACUCUCUGGUCUGUAACUGACGCUGAGGAGCGAAAGCGUGGGGAGCGAACAGGAUUAGAUACCCCCGUAGUCCCUGUCUCUUAUAC